rnacentral:lncRNA from 1 species
UUUUAUGAUGUAUUUAAAUGAGUAGUUAUUGUUGCAAACUCCAUUAGAAAUUUGAAUUGAGAUCAGUUUUGGAAAAAGGGAAAGGGGGAUGUGAACAAAAAAUGGGGGGGGGGGGUAAAUUUUUCUCAUUUCAGAUUUAAUAAAUAAAAAGAAAAUUUCUUCAAACAUUUUUUUGAGAGGAUUAAUAUUCAACAGCAUAGUGAAUUGCUCAAAGGCAAAAAAAAAUAUUUCAAGUUCAUUAGACCACAUUCAUUCUGUGUCAGAAACCUAUGCGUGUCAACUAUUUAAUCACAAUCCAAAUUUAGAGCUGAAUCCAGCUUGAAUGUUGUGUCCAUACUUGCCCCAACCAUUCAGGGUUCAACCUCUGCGGUCGUAUAAAGCUGCGCCCUGCGGAGCAUCUGGUUU